CCUGCUUCAACCGUCUGUGGGGUUCCUCAUCUCUCUGUUCACAAUGUUCUGGCUAUUGAAUUCCAUUCUAUUCAUAACUGGGAUUGCUUGGGCCAGUUCAGAGAUUGUUCUCAUUCAGUCAGGCCCAGAAUUGAAAAAGCCUGGAGAAUCCGUGAGACUCACCUGUUCCACAGCCGGAUUUGAUCUUAGCAGCGCUGACACGCACUGGCUCCGCCAGCCUCCAGGGAAAGGGCUGGAAUGGCUGAUAUACUAUUACUCUUCAACUGGUACCAAUUAUUACUCCCCAACCAUCCAAGGGCGGUUCACUGCCUCCAAGGAUAGCUCCAACUUAUAUCUGCACAUGAACAACCUGAAGCAAGAAGACACAGCCACGUAUUACUGUGCCAGAGGCUCACAGUGA